AAUAUUGGACAAUGGGCGCAAGCCUGAUCCAGCCAUGCCGCGUGAGUGAUGAAGGCCCUAGGGUUGUAAAGCUCUUUCGCCAGGGACGAUAAUGACGGUACCUGGAUAAGAAGCCCCGGCUAACUUCGUGCCAGCAGCCGCGGUAAUACGAAGGGGGCUAGCGUUGUUCGGAAUUACUGGGCGUAAAGCGCAUGCAGGCGGAUUGUUAAGUCGGGGGUGAAAGCCCGAGGCUCAACCUCGGAACUGCCUUCGAUACUGGCAAUCUUGAGUCCGGGAGAGGUGAGUGGAACUCCGAGUGUAGAGGUGAAAUUCGUAGAUAUUCGGAAGAACACCAGUGGCGAAGGCGGCUCACUGGCCCGGUACUGACGCUGAGAUGCGAAAGCGUGGGGAGCAAACAGGAUUAGAUACCCUGGUAGUCCACGCCGUA
rnacentral:rRNA from 1 species